GCUCUGUGGUGAAUCAUAAUAACUUAACGAAUCGCAUGGCCUUGCGCCGGCGAUGGUUCAUUCAAAUUUCUGCCCUAUCAACUUUCGAUGGUAGGAUAGUGGCCUACCAUGGUGGCAACGGGUAACGGGGAAUUAGGGUUCGAUUCCGGAGAGGGAGCCUGAGAAACGGCUACCACAUCCAAGGAAGGCAGCAGGCGCGCAAAUUACCCAAUCCCGAUACGGGGAGGUAGUGACAAUAAAUACUGAUACGGGGCUCUUUUGGGUCUCGUAAUUGGAAUGAGAACAAUUUAAAUCCCUUAACGAGGAACAAUUGGAGGGCAAGUCUGGUGCCAGCAGCCGCGGUAAUUCCAGCUCCAAUAGCGUAUAUUAAAGUUGUUGCAGUUAAAAAGCUCGUAGUUGAACCUUGGGUCUGGCUGGCCGGUCCGCCUCACCGCGAGUACUGGUCCGGCUGGACCUUUCCUUCUGGGGAACCUCAUGGCCUUCACUGGCUGUGGGGGGAACCAGGACUUUUACUGUGAAAAAAUUAGAGUGUUCAAAGCAGGCCUUUGCUCGAAUACAUUAGCAUGGAAUAAUAGAAUAGGACGUGCGGUUCUAUUUUGUUGGUUUCUAGGACCGCCGUAAUGAUUAAUAGGGAUAGUCGGGGGCGUCAGUAUUCAGCUGUCAGAGGUGAAAUUCUUGGAUUUGCUGAAGACUAACUACUGCGAAAGCAUUCGCCAAGGAUGUUUUCAUUAAUCAGGGAACGAAAGUUAGGGGAUCGAAGACGAUCAGAUACCGUCGUAGUCUUAACCAUAAACUAUGCCGACUAGGGAUCGGACGGGAUUCUAUAAUGACCCGUUCGGCACCUUACGAGAAAUCAAAGUUUUUGGGUUCUGGGGGGAGUAUGGUCGCAAGGCUGA
rnacentral:rRNA from 1 species